rnacentral:rRNA from 1 species
GACGAACCGUCCAAACGUUAUUCGGAAUCACUGGGCUUACAGAGUUCGUAGGCGGUCUGGAAAGUUGGGUGUGAAAUCCCUCGGCUCAACCGAGGAACUGCGCCCAAAACUACCGUGCUCGAGGAAGAUAGAGGUGAGCGGAACUUACGGUGGAGCGGUGAAAUGCGUUGAUAUCGUAAGGAACACCCGUGGCGAAAGCGGCUCACUGGGUCUUUUCUGACGCUGAUGCACGAAAGCUAGGGGAGCAAACGGG